GACGAACGCUGGCGGCGUGCUUAACACAUGCAAGUCGAACGGAAAGGCCCCUUCGGGGGUACUCGAGUGGCGAACAGGUGGGUAACACGUGAGUAACCUGCCCUUGACUUCGGGAUAACUUCAGGAAACUGGGGCUAAUACCGGAUAGGAAUCCUUGCUGCAUGGUGGGGGUUGGAAAGCUUCGGCGGUUUUGGAUGGACUCGCGGCUUAUCCGCUUGUUGGUGUGGUAGUGGCUUACCAAGGCUUUGACGGGUAGCCGGCCCGGGGGGGCGACCGGCCACAGUGGGACUGAGACAGGGCCCCGACUCCUACGGGAGGCAGCAGUGGGGAAUAUUGCACUAUGGGCGGAAGCCUGAUGCAGCAACGCCGCGUGCGGGAUGACGGCCUUCGGGUUGGAAACCGCUUUCAGCAGGGGCGAAGCUUGUGGUGACGGUACCUGCAGAAGAAGCACCGGCUAACUACGUG
rnacentral:rRNA from 1 species